UACGAAGGGGGGCUAGCGUUGCUCGGAUUUUACUGGGCGUAAAGGGCGCGUAGGCGGACAGUUAAGUUGGGGGUGAAAGCCCGGGGCUCAACCUCGGAAUUGCCUUCAAUACUGGCUGUCUUGAGUGUGAGAGAGGUGUGUGGAACUCCGAGUGUAGAGGUGAAAUUCGUAGAUAUUCGGAAGAACACCAGUGGCGAAGGCGACACACUGGCUCACUACUGACGCUGGAGGCGCGAAAGCGUGGGGAGCAAACAGG
rnacentral:rRNA from 1 species